rnacentral:rRNA from 1 species
UACAGAGGGUGCAAGCGUUAAUCGGAAUUACUGGGCGUAAAGCGUGCGUGGACGGUUACAUAAGUCGGGUGUGAAAGCCCCGGGCUCAACCUGGGAAUUGCAUUCGAGACUGCGUAGCUAGGGUGCGGAAGAGGGAAGCGGAAUUUCCGGUGUAGCGGUGAAAUGCGUAGAUAUCGGAAGGAACACCAGUGGCGAAAGCGGCUUCCUGGUCCAGCACCGACGUCAGGCACGAAAGCGUGGGGAGCAAACAGG